AGAAUGAACGCUGGCGGCGUGCUUAACACAUGCAAGUCGAACGGAAUCCAAGGAGCUUGCUCUGGAAGAUUUAGUGGCGAACGGGUGGAGUAUCACGUGAGCAACCUGCCCCGAAGACUGGGAUAACACCGGGAAACCGGUGCUAAUACCGGAUACCUUCCAAUGACCGCAUGGUCGAUGGAAGAAAUGUUUUUCGCUUCGGGAGGGGCUCGCGGUCCAUCAGCUUGUUGGCGGGGUAACGGCCCACCAAGGCUUCGACGGAUAGCUGGUCUGAGAGGACGAUCAGCCACACUGGAACUGAGACACGGUCCAGACUCCUACGGGAGGCAGCAGUGGGGAAUUUUGCGCAAUGGGGGAAACCCUGACGCAGCAACGCCGCGUGGAGGAUGAAGCCCCUUGGGGCGUAAACUCCUUUCGACCAAGACGAUAAUGACGGUACUGGUGGAAGAAGCACCGGCUAACUCUGUGCCAGCAGCCGC
rnacentral:rRNA from 1 species